rnacentral:rRNA from 1 species
UACGUAGGCAGCAAGCGUUGUUCGGAAUUACUGGGCGUAAAGAGUGUGUAGGCGGUGCUCUAAGUCUGUUGUGAAAUCUCCCGGCUUAACCGGGAGGGUGCGGCGGAAACUGGAGUGCUUGAGGGUGGGAGAGGUAAGCGGAAUUCCUGGUGUAGCGGUGAAAUGCGUAGAUAUCAGGAGGAACACCUAUGGUGUAGACAGCUUACUGGACCACUUCUGACGCUGAGACACGAAAGCGUGGGUAGCAAACAGG